UUUCAGGGACUAAACUAGAGGAUGAAACUGAUACCUUGUGCACACAAUACAGAGAAAUAACCAGUUUCCCUUUGAUUCAGUCAGAAGUCAGGAGGCAUAUCAGGGAGCACACUGCUAUAGGGAGUGAAUCAAAUUCCUCACAAAGGGAACAAAUCGACAAGGUCACAGAAAAUGAAGACACAGAGAGUUGUUCAGCAGAUGAUACAAAAUUGCUGACUAACCUAAAUCUAGUCUGUUUUGCAGAGUACAAGACAGACCGCUGUUCUUACAUACUAGAGAGAGAGGAGGAUGCAGAGAGGGUGGAUUUGGACCAGGCUGAUUUUGGAUAGUAUGUGGGAGAGAUUGAGGUUCUGGUGCCUGAAGGAGGUGACAUGAAUGCAGCUCUGCAGAGAAUUGCAAGAAUCGCUGCAGAACUGGGUCUGAAUUGUGAGAAGAGUGUUUAAGGGAAAAUGCAUGACUACCUUCAAAGAUAUCGACCAGACCACUACGCAAAACUCCUUAGUGCACAUAUGUUAUGUUGCCAUAUUUGUGACCAUCAGAGUGAGGAAACAUUGGCAGUUAAUGGAAAAUCACCAGUAAAACGACAUCAAGAAAAACCUCAAAAAAUGCUUUUGAUCCAUGCCAAGUCCCAGGAAAGGUGUGUUCAGGUCUGAGGUCAGCACAAAUAUUGCCAAAUUUGACUUUCGUGGACAAAUUUGAUGUAUGCAGGUGAGUCUGAUGUGUGACUGGUGAGCACACAGGCCUACCGGUACAUCACCAUAAACAUCUCUCAUUCAGAAGUUACAAAGUGUUGUUUUCUGCUUUGGUCAAAAUAUUAUAAAACGUAUGUGAUGAUGCUGUCUGUAUGAAUGUAAGAGCUGCUUUUAACACAUGAAGAAUACACAGAAAGCAACCGAGGCAAAAAAAAUGAAUAAGAAUAAUAUGUUUACAUUGUAGUCUGGCAGUGUGAAUAAAUCUAAUCUUAUGAUGUGUUGUUUAUUGACUAACAUUAGUAUAUACACAUUAAUCACGUACUAUAUAUUCACAUUAAAGUGCUUUUUCAUUCAUUACAAUGUGUUUCAAUUAUCACAUACAUUUAUACAGUCUGAGUGUUAUGAACAGCAUCGUCCUAUGUGCAUUUCCAGUUUAAUUGUAUCCGAAUC